CAGGAAUGUUUACCCAGUAAGAUUUACUUUGGUUUGGCCUGUAACUGUGGAAAAUACCUCUCUGUGUUAAUGAAUAGAUUCAGUGAGGCUGGCCAAAACACCUGCCAAAAACACCUUUAAAAUGUUCCUUUUCACAACUCCAAAAUUAAGAGUGUUCAAAAUGUUAAUUUUAAGCAAUAAAGGAACAAGCACAUACCUUGUGUUAAGUAGUGUUUGUAUGAAGUAGAAAUUCAAAUUACCAAGGCUUAAUUAUGUGAAGUUAUCUGAGACUUUGCUAUAAUUUUGGGUAAAGUGUUUGGAAAAAGUAUCAUUAAAGUAGAUACAUGUCCUGUCACUUUCUGAAGAAUAAAAUUAACUCUUAUUUUAAAAAUUUGUAGAACACCAAAGCAUAGGAAGUAGUGAUGAUGAGAGCUCCUGUGACAAACAUGAGACUGGAAGUUAUUCUGAGUGUUCACUGUGAAAUACUUCCUAUGUGAUUAAGCACCCAAGUGUCUCUGUUUGCUUGCUUAAUCUUUAUGACAUCUCUAGGAAGUGAAUGUGCCCAUUAAUUAAUCAGUUCUACUAAUCUCUCCUAAUUCACAAGAAAUGGCUUUUGUUGAAAAUUACCUUUGGAACAGAAGGCCCAAUGAAUGUUUCAUCUUGAUUUUAUAUAUUACCUAUGGCAUUUAGUACUUUUAGUCCUUCUUUGUGGAGGACUAUAACUUCACUAAAGUUAAAUUUGGAAAAAUUUAAUCUAUUUUACAUGUGUUUAUAACAGGAAACUUUGAAAGUACUAAUCUAAAGGAAAGCAAUAAUUAUUCAGUUAUAAAAUAAUUAUAUAAUUGUAUCUGUUUUUUUUCAUCCCUUGAAUGGUUCCUGUGUGAGUUCCUCUCAAAGAAACAGAGAAAUUGUGUUUUAUUUUACAAUUAUGCAGCUGUACAAGUAAAGGACAAAAUGGUGAUAAACGGUGUAGGAGGGAAAUCAACAAAACCUACUUAUUAAGAUUCUUUUAACCGUCAGUGAUGAGAACAUUUCUUUCUUGCAGAUAUAGGGAGGAUAUUUCUGGAAGGAAGAUUUUAUGGCCCACAUCUGGGGAAGAUCAGCUGGGGUUUAUGGCCCUCCUUAGAGGAGAAGAGAGGAAGUUCAUCACCUUGCUGGAAACACCAUCACAGACAAAGAGGUUUGUAAGUGAUUCCAAAUGCAGAAUUGAAGACUCCUCUGAGGACUCUGAUCUUGACAGAAGAGAGAAGACAGUGCUCGCCCACAGAAACAAGAGCAUUUCAGUGCCAGUGGCCCAAGAUUUAAAAGAAGCAUACUGACAUUUUCUUUACUUUGCUAGCAUGACCUUAGGCAUUUCAUCCAGACUGUUCUUCAAG
rnacentral:lncRNA from 1 species